rnacentral:rRNA from 1 species
CCCCAGACUCCUACGGGAGGCAGCAGUGGGGGAUAUUGCACAAUGGGGGGAACCCUGAUGCAGCGACGCCGCGUGGGUGAAGAAGCGCCUCGGCGCGUAAAGCCCUGUCAGCAGGGAAGAAAAUGACGGUACCUGAAGAAGAAGCCCCGGCUAACUACGUGCCAGCAGCCGCGGUAAUACGUAGGGGGCAAGCGUUAUCCGGAUUUACUGGGUGUAAAGGGAGCGUAGACGGCCAGACAAGUCUGAAGUGAAAUGCCGGGGCUUAACCCCGGAACUGCUUUGGAAACUGAGCAGCUAGAGUGCAGGAGAGGUAAGUGGAAUUCCUAGUGUAGCGGUGAAAUGCGUAGAUAUUAGGAGGAACACCAGUGGCGAAGGCGGCUUACUGGACUGUAACUGACGUUGAGGCUCGAAAGCGUGGGGAGCAAACAGGAUUAGAUACCCGGGUA